rnacentral:lncRNA from 1 species
AUUUUAUUUUUUAUGAUUAAAAUAAUUUUAAUUAUAUAGAUUAGAUAUUCUACUUUUUAUAUAACUCAUGCUUUGUAUCACAUACAAUAAUUUCUAGGAUUUCAAUAUCUAGAGUUUUACAGAAAAGUAAGUUCUUCCUUUCACUUUCUUCUUCAUGGGAUUAAAUUACAUAGCACCCCUAUACGUCAUAAGAGCACCCUAUCGAGUAGAAAAAGAGGAUCUUUAAAUUCUUUUGC